UAGUAGUCUCCAAGACCUCGGUCCUGA
rnacentral:piRNA from 1 species